CAUCCAGGAGGCUGGCAGGAGAGAGUCAGUGGCACCAGGCUGACCAGGGAAACUGGGUCCUGUUUUCCUGUGCUUCUGCCCCGUCCCUAGUCCAGGACCCCAUGACUAGCCUAGCUUGGCCUCCCCUCCUCCCAGCGGGAGCUCAUUUCUCAUAGGCCAUCCCUGAGAGCCUCUCAGCCCUUCAUUGUCUCUGUCUUCCGGUGUCUCCUACUGUAGAAGGAGGAUAUGGAGGCGGUCCCUGGCUACCUCUCCCUGCACCAGUCUGCAGAGAGCCUGACUCUGAAGUGGACCCCCAACCAGCUCAUGAAUGGGACUCUGGGGGACUCCGAGCUGGAAAAGAGGUGGGGGCUUUGGGACUCACUCCCAGGAGCCAGGGCAGGGAGUGGGUUUGACCUCGGGCAGAGGGAUGGAGAAACCCUGCUUGCUCCAGGAGGCCAACCUCACUCUUUAUCUGGACGCCAAGAAUAGCAGGGAGCGGCUGCCUGGAGUGAUUCCCAAGCUCUCUAGGACGGAGCCAAGCCUGGCCGUGAAGAGGUUUGUCUGAGCCAAGCUCUCAGCGGCUGAGACGGACAGCUGUCCAUGUGCCGAGCGGGCAGCACAGAUCUCAGGGGUCAUAGCUGGCUGUGCGCACCUCUUGGCUAUGGUCAUCCUAUCUUCAGGGGAGUUUCGUGGGGUGGUAGGACCAGGAGACAAGGAAGGAAGGAUGGCAGGUCUUUGGACACAGUGACAGCAGUCUGGUUCCUUUCUAGCGUUUACUGGGACUAUGCCCUCGUGGUGCCCUUCAGCCAGGUCGUGUGCAUCCACUGCCACCAGCAAAGUAAGCCUGCCUUGUCCUUGGCUCGGGUGGGAAGGGAGAGGCUGCCUUCUGCCAGCUGUGCACUGUGCGUGGGGCCUGUAAGACUCCUCGUCCUCCUCCCAUCCUUGUUAAUGGGGCUCCCAGGCCAUGCUGUAGCCCAGCCAUCUGCCUCCUACCCAGCCUGGGGGCGCUGGCCAGCAGGCUGUGAUAGCCGACGAGAGGGCCUCAGCCGCACUCUCCACGUUCACCCCCAGAGAGCGGUGGCACGCUUGUGCUGGUGAGCCAGGAUGGCAUCCAGAGGCCGCCGCUGCAUUUCCCGCAGGGAGGACACCUGCUGUCCUUUCUGUCCUGUCUGGAGAAUGGGCUGCUGCCUCGGGGACAGCUAGAGCCCCCGCUGUGGACCCAGCAAGGGAAGGGGAAGGUGUUCCCCAAGCUACGGAAACGAAGCAGCAUUCGCUCUGUGGAUAUGGAGGAGAUGGGCACGGGGCGGGCCACCGACUAUGUGUUCCGGAUCGUCUACCCCGGCCACAGGCACGAGCACAACGCUGGUGACAUGAUCGAGAUGCAGGGCUUUGGGCCCAGCCUGCCAGCCUGGCACCUGGAACCCCUGUGCAGUCAGGGCUCCUCCUGCCUCUCCUGUUCCUCCAGCAGCUCCCCACAUGCAACCCCCAGCCACUGUAGCUGCAUCCCCGACCGGUUGCCGCUCAGGCUACUGUGUGAGAGUAUGAAGAGGCAGAUCGUGUCCCGGGCCUUCUACGGCUGUGAGUGUGGGGCACGCCGGGCUGUGGCGGGCUGGGGGCGGGCGGCCCUGGGUCCCAGCCUCCUGCUGCCCACUGCUGCCCACCGCAGGGCUGGCACACUGCCGCCACCUGUCCACGGUGCGGACCCACCUGUCGGCGCUGGUGCACCAUAGCGUUAUCCCUCCUGACCGGCCCCCGGGGGCCUCCGCGGGCCUCACCAAGGACGUGUGGAGCAAGUAUCAGAAGGACAAAAAGGUGCCAACCCUGGGGUUCCAGGGCCACAGGUCGAGGGGCUGGGGCGGGCAGGAGUGAGGGCUUCAGGGUAAAAUGUGCCAGUGGGUGCGGUUGACAGGCCAGGGCCGAUGCCACGGAGUGACCAGGGUCCCGGCAGAAUCUCUUGCAGCUGGGCCUGGGGCUGACACGGGAAGGGGGCUGGACUGGGAAGCCGUCCUGCCUCCACAUCGCCCUGUGACCCUGGACAAAGCUUUGCCUCUCUCCGGGCGCCAUUUCCUGCCCCUUAAGGAAGGAGAGCAGAACGACAUCUCAUCCCACUGUGAGCUGGGGCACGGGAGGACGUGGCCACCCCAAAGCAGGCUUUGCCUGGGCUUCAGCAGUCACUACAGGCCCCGCCCCAGCCCAUUCUCCGUGGGAUGGGGCUCACCCAGCUGGGCCACAGUGACUGUGGAGGCUGCAGAGUCUUGACUCCCUGGGUCCCUCAGAACUACAAAGAGCUGGAGCUGCUGCGGCGAGUUUACUACGGAGGCAUAGAGCACGAGAUCCGCAAGGACGUCUGGCCCUUUCUGCUUGGCCACUACAAGUUCGGCAUGAGCAAGAAGGAGAUGGAGCAGGUGAGGGGAGCCUGUUCCCAUGGGGCUGAUGAGAUGGGGAGCUGGGCCAGGGGACGCCAGGGAGGGGACCUUGGAAGCCUCAGCCCCUUCCCAGCCGGAAAGAAGCAUGGCAGGGCAGCUCCACUGUCCUUACCCUGAGGCCUGUCUUGAGUCUGAGACUCAGGACCCAAGGUCCAGUGCAGGCCCAGCUCCUGAAGGGGAGGGCCUGGUGCACGCUUCCCCCAUGGUCGUGGUGUGGUCUGAGUACAGGUGGACGCAGUGGUGGCAGCAAGGUACCAGCAGGUGUUGGCAGAGUGGAAGGCCUGCGAGGUGGUGGUGAGGCAGCGGGAGCGGGAUGCCCACCCAGCCACACGCACCAAGUUCUCCUCAGGCAGCAGCAUCGACAGCCACGUGCAGCGCCUCAUCCACCGAGACUCCACCAUCAGCAACGAUGUGAGCCAGACGGGACCUGGAGGGUUGGGGGUCUCGGGGGCCACCCGCGUUUUCCACACAGUGGUCCUGAGCACCAGCCCGACCUCUGGGAACUGGUGGGGCCCUGCGAGAAAGGCCUAAUGUGCCUGUUCUCCAACUGGAAAUGGCUAACUGUGCCUCUGCCGCCUACUUCUCUGGGUAUUGUAGGAAUAAAGUGAGAAAGUGCAUUGUGCUCAGUUUUAGCCAACUCUAGGGAAAGAUGGACUUACUGGGAUUUAGGGAAACCCUCCUCCUUGUAGAAAGACCUCAAAGCUAGCAACAGGCAGCGCUGGGUUCUAGUCCCAGAUCCACUAUUGACAAGCUGAAUGUCUCUGGGCAAGCACUUCCCAUCUCUGGGUCUCAGUUUCCCCUCUCCACCCAUAUCCUCUGACUGCAGAGGCUUCCUGAGAGCUGUGGGCUUGAGAAUAGGGGAGCCCGUAGAGCAGCCCCAUUGGUGUCGACUGGCGAGAUCCUUCCUCCCCGCGAUGUUGCCUGUCACUGUACAGAACUGACUAUGGCAGGCUCGUUCGGAGCACGGGAGGGUAGCUCUUUCUGGCAUCACUCCUGCCUUUUGAACAGCAAGUUCUAAACUGUGACUGCCUGGCCCAACCAACACUGAUAAGUUUCAAUUUUAAGGACACUUUCAUUAAUUUUUUUCUUUAAAAUUGUCUCUUUAGAUAAUGUGUAUUCUUGUUACUUUACUAAAUCCUUACCAACAUUAACAGAAAAUGUAAGUUGAAGUAAGUUAAAUAUAACUGGCUGGGUGUGAUGGCUCAUGCCUCUAAUUCCAACACUUUGGGAGGCAGAGGUGGGAGGAUUGCUUUAGUUCAAGAGUUCGAGACCAGCCUGGGCAACAUGGCGAAACCCUGUCUUUACAAAAAAUGCAAAACUUUGCCGCAUGUGUUGGGGUGCGCCUGUAGUUCCAGCUUCUCGGGAGGCUGAGGUGGGGGGACCACCUGAGCCAUGGAGGUUGAGGCUGCAGUGAGCCAUGAUACCACCACUGUACUCUAGCCUGGGCCGUAGAGUGAGACCCUGCCUCAG
rnacentral:sRNA from 1 species